CCUACGGGAGGCAGCAGUGGGGAAUAUUGCGCAAUGGGCGAAAGCCUGACGCAGCGACGCCGCGUGAAGGAUGAAGGUCUUCGGAUCGUAAACCUCUGUCAGCAGGGAAGAACGGUCACUGUGCUAAUCAGCAGUGAAUUGACGGUACCUGCAAAGGAAGCACCGGCUAACUACGUGCCAGCAGCCGCGGUAAUACGGAGGGUGCGAGCGUUAAUCGGAAUUACUGGGCGUAAAGCGCUCGUAGGCGGUAUGUCAAGUCAGAGGUGAAAUCCCCGCGCUCAACGUGGGAACUGCCGUUGAAACUGGCAAACUGGAGUGUGUGAGAGGAUAGUGGAAUUCGAGGUGUAGGAGUGAAAUGCGUAGAUAUCUGGAGGAACAUCAGUGGCGAAGGCGACUAGCUGGAACAUAACUGACGCUGAGGCGCGAAAGCGUGGGUAGCAAACAGGAUUAGAUACCCUAGUAGUC
rnacentral:rRNA from 1 species